CUAAGUUCUCCGUCUUCGCCGCCGCCGGUAACUCCCCGGAGUCCAAUUCAACCCUUUCGAAUUCCGGGUCGAAAUCACUGUUCGUCAAGCAAGAACCCCUAGAUUCCGAAUGUAACCACAACUCAUCUCCGGCGACUUCCAAUCCACUAGUCCAUCAGAAAUCAACAAAGAGAAAGGAACGCGAGAAAAAGGUAAUUUCAACACCCCAUGACGAAGCCAGAAUUUUCAUUUUCUCUGGUAGUAAAGUAAACACAUGAACUAGCCGAAGGCCUAAAGAAUAGUGUUAACUAUGUAUAAAUAGUAUAAUUUUCCGAUGAAUGAUACUAAUUUCAGUACAAUUUAUGUGAAAUUCAGGUAAAAGAAACUUCUAAAAAGGGGAAAAAAUCAGCUAACGAUACCUCAGAAGACGGCGGCGAGAAGCUACCAUAUGUUCACGUCCGAGCGCGUCGAGGCCAAGCCACUGAUAGCCAUAGUUUAGCAGAAAGAGUAAGAUUAAGAGCUUCUAAUGUUUUGCUAAACAUGGUAAUUAGUAAUU
rnacentral:lncRNA from 1 species